GUUGGACUGGAUGAUCUUGUAGGUCUUUUCCAACCUAGCUAAUUCUAUGAUUCUAUGAUUCUAUGAUUCUAUGAUUCUAUGAUUUUAUUGCAAUAAAAAAAAGUUUGCAGAAUUAGAAAGCUGAGUUCCUGCUCUAGUCUGAUGAAGAAAAAAGUUGGGUCUUGUCUGAGAGCUGAGAUAUUCCCCUUGGUGUCAGCAGAAGCUUGAGACAGCUGUCAUUUCCCUGUCAGUGCCUUUGUUUCAUCUGUUUCUCUGGACUGUGUGAAAAUGGACAUAGACAGACCUCCUGCCACAUGGCUGCCUGGGAGACACAAUGGCACCUGCAAAUCUGGAAAGAAAAGCCAACAAAAGAACCAGAAAGGCAAAGUACAAUGCACAUGGGCUAAGGAGAAUGUUUACAUAGUUGGUAUCAAGGCCACUGGGUCGGAACAACAUCAAUAAAUACCAUACAAAGAAACAGGCUCAAAAUAGGUGACAGUUUUAAUGUAUGGUUGGCAGAACAACUUGAGCACUGCGGGGAUGGAUGCUUGAGAAGGCUGUCAUGAAUCGCUUGUCCUCUGCUCUUUGCACACCUAUGAAACUCAGAGUGCUGCUCACUAAGUUUGCAAAUGGAUGAUCCUCCUCUCGUGUGCCUCCCUGAUGCUGCCAUGGGUCCUGUGAUGCAAUGCCAGGUCGCAAGAGAAAGAAAUAAGGAGUAGUGGGCAUCCCAUCCGCAGACAAAGCAAAUAAAAGUCUCUAUUUUGUCAUGUGAAAGGUGUUUUGGGAAAAAAUUCCUGUUUGUCAACAGAAAAGUGGAAAGUGACAAAAGUUCUUGGAGCAGAGAGUGGACAAACUCAUUUCUAGCUUAUGGGCAUCCCCUGAAGUGUUUGGUCCUGCAACACUAUCUAAUCUUUCAUGAUUUUACUUUGUAAGUAGCUAAAUGUUUUUUUAAUAAUACAGCAAGUUCCACGAAAACCAAGUCCUGGUGCCCAGAGAGUGAGUCAACUGCAGACUGCUGUAACGCCUUGUUCUUGGGGAAAGGCUCUGCCAUUUGAGGAUUCAAAGUGUGGGAGAACAGUGGUACACGGUGACUCUACCCUGGAAGCCUUUCUGGCGAUUUCCACGUGUGAUAAAACCAAAGGAGCUUUCCCCAGAAUUCCAGGCUGGUGCAUUUCAAUUGACACAUGUUUUCCAUGAGAUGUACAACACAUUCAGACCAAAACCACGUGAGAAGAAUAUUAAUAUCGAUUUUACCUCUGAGGUAUAUGUUCUUCUUAGUACUUUUAUAUUCCGAUGUUCAGAUCCUUGCUCUGAGUGAUGUAUGAGUGAAGAUGGCAAUGACCAGCGAUCUGCGCUGGCUUCACCUGAGUAAGCUAAAUAACCAUCUGGAUGUUGUCCAAGGUGUCUGAAAGCAAAAUGAGCCAGUGCAGGAUUCAGGAGACGUAAUCUGUGCCAAGGUCUGUGCUUCCAACUGCAGCCUGGAGACGUGUCUGAGGUGGAUUUGGCUUGCAAGGACCUCACCAUUCUCUGCUUGCUGAAGCCCCGUUUUCUGUGUAUCUUCUGUGAGUCUGAGACAAAACUGAAGCCACGAGGACUUCCUCAUACCUUCUGAUUGCUCUGCUCUUGAUUUUCCAGCCUUUUCAAGAAAGAACAUAGGUAGAUGUUCACAACUGGGCAAAACACGUAGGAAUGACCUACAUUCAGACCCUGUGAUUUUAGAAAUACCUGCCUGAGACUGGAAGAUUUCACGCAGGAGCUAUGGGGGAUCUACACCAUAGAGCAGAAGCUGAAGGCCCCAAGGGAUACCAAUGUCAUCUUUGAAGAGUUAGGCUUAAAUAUUUGGGCAACUAAAUUAAGUCCACAGUAGCCUAUUCUAGGGAACCUGGUUUAGGGGGCUGUUGGACUAGAUGAUCCCCAGAGGUCCCUUCCAACCCCUGGGUUUCUGUGAUUCCGUGAUUCUAUCAACCAGCUAAUGUUUUCAGAAAGAAAUAUGGUUGUUUAGUUUGUUCACGCACCAAUGAAUGAAGACUGCAAACACUGCAGCAGCACCUUGGGCCCUCUCCUGCUCUCAACAUCAUCAACAACCCAACGUCAUUCCCAGAUGCUUUCUCCCCCACCAAAACAAUGGCUCAUAUUCUCCAAGUGGCCCAUUAGCAAUUAACAAAUUGAAGUUAACAAGGAAAAAAGCCCUUGAGGUGGGUCGGUUUUGAGAAGCAGCCCUCCUGGAGGCAUGGUGAGGAAGUAUCAUUACCUCUCUGCUGGCUUUUGUGACCCUCUGUCAUUGUUCAGGCUUAGCCGUGUGCAGCGGUCAAGCUGUACUCCUUACUCCAUGGCCUGCCUUCCACAUUCCCUGUUGCCAAGGUCCCCUGGACAGCCUGGUCUGUUCCCAAAGCUCUAUAAAAACAAGAGUGCUCCUUGCUCUCCUGUUGCAGGUUUCUGGUGUUGCCGCUCUGUCUCCACGCUGUGGUUGAGACUUUCUACCAUGAAGCUCCUCUCCUGCCUCAUGGCUGUGCUCCUCUUCCUCCUCCAGGCUGUUCCAGCAGGAGGAAGAUGAUGAGACAUGGACUGAUCCUGCAGCACAACUGGGAAUCCCAUUCUUCCUGUAGGUCUCGGCUUGCCCAGAGACACCUCACGUUGUGUUGGCUACCAUGGGUACUGCAUCCGUUCCAAAGUCUGCCCCAAACCAUUUGCUGCAUUUGGAACUUGCUCUUGGCGUCAGAAAACCUGCUGCGUAGUUUCCUUUUCAAGGUGAAACGUCACAAAUUCCUCCUCUUACAGAAGUGCUCUGAAUAGCCCCAUAGUCCUUCUUUACGUCUUUGCUUCUGAGGACCUACAAACCAGAACAUCUCAAUACUUUCUGUAUAGACACUACAUCAAACCUCCAUACUUGUCAAGACGAGGGGGGCCAUUGCGUAUCUCCAAAAAUCAGAUGUCUGGAAGAACAGCUGGGACUUUGCCCUCUAAAAAAAUGGAAGUGCUGCAAAGAAAUAUAAUAAAGACCU